GCUGUGGUCAGCAGGAGCUGUCCCUGCCUGAGACCGGAGGGCAGGGCAUGUGUGUCUCCUUUCCUGAAACCUCCGUGCCUGACGCAGCCUGACAUAGGGCAGGUGCUUGAUAAUUCACUGAGCAAAUGAAGCAAACCCGGCAGGUAGCUGAGGCCCCAUCCCCACCCGCAGGAGCUUUGCCUGGCUCGCUGUCUCUAUAGCCCUUCUCUUCCUGCGCCGGAAGGUAAAGGACCCCGGGUCAGUGGCUCAGGGGGACGUGGACAUCUGCCAAACUGGUCCUCAGAGCUGUGAGCAUCUUCAGUUUUUAGAGGUGGAAUCUGAAGAUCAGAGGAGAAACGACUUGCCCAAGGCCACACAGCAACAAGCAGGAUUCCCAC